AGAGUUUGAUCAUGGCUCAGAACGAACGCUGGCGGCAGGCCUAACACAUGCAAGUCGAACGAUAAGCCACCUUCGGGUGGUGGACAGUGGCAGACGGGUGAGUAACGCGUGGGAACGUGCCUUUCGGUUCGGAAUAACCCAGGGAAACUUGGGCUAAUACCGGAUACGCCCUUCGGGGGAAAGAUUCAUUGCCGAAAGAUCGGCCCGCGUCGGAUUAGCUAGUUGGUGGGGUAAUGGCUCACCAAGGCGACGAUCCGUAGCUGGUCUGAGAGGAUGACCAGCCACACUGGGACUGAGACACGGCCCAGACUCCUACGGGAGGCAGCAGUGGGGAAUAUUGGACAAUGGGCGCAAGCCUGAUCCAGCCAUGCCGCGUGGGUGAAGAAGGCCUUAGGGUUGUAAACCCCUUUCAGCGGGGAAGAUAAUGACGGUACCCGCAGAAGAAGUCCGGCUAACUCCGUGCCAGCAGCCGCGGUA
rnacentral:rRNA from 1 species